UACGGAGGGUGCGAGCGUUGUCCGGAAUCAUUGGGCGUAAAGGGCGCGUAGGUGGCCCGGUCAGCGUGCGGUGAAAGCUCGGGGCUCAACCCCGAGUCGGCCGUGCGAACUGCUGGGCUUGAGCACUGUAGAGGCAGGCGGAAUUCCGGGUGUAGCGGUGGAAUGCGUAGAGAUCCGGAAGAACACCGGUGGCGAAGGCGGCCUGCUGGGCAGUGGCUGACACUGAGGCGCGACAGCG
rnacentral:rRNA from 1 species